GUCUCGUACUUGAGCAUCUUGCUCGGCACUACAACACUCAAGGACACUGCCACUUCCUCAUCCUCCCCACAGGCUGUAGCUGAGACGCCGCCACCGAAGCCAACCAUUUAUGUCAACGACCCUCCUGAUUGGUACUUCAGUAUUUACAUCAGGAUCGAUCGUUCAGGAUUUUUCCAUACAUAUCCUCAUCUCGGUGGACCAUUCAAGAGCUUAAAGGAAGUUGAAAAGGCUAUUGAGAGCUAUCUUCAUGACAAGCGGCAUAAAACGCUGUGGAACGAGCAAGCUGGGGAUGAAAUCAUUAUAAGAAAGGCUCUUUACUGGCCUGAUGGCAGAACAAGGAAAUGUUCAGACGAGCACGUAGUGGAGUUUACCCGUGAGCAAAUGAGUUUAGUGCUUCAAGCUUUACUGGACAAGUAUAAUGAGGAUCGCAAUCUUGUUGGGGAUCUUGCGUAUGAAUUCAAGGAUUUUUUGCACUAUCAAACAAUUUGUGAAGACUAUAAGUGGUACAAGCAUUUCAAUUUCACGACAAAGACUAAAGAUUGAAUUGAGGAUCUUUUCUUUGCUGAAGUGACAAAGGGAGCAGAUGAUGCAUUAGUGGCCAACUGUUUCUGCAAGAUUGAAUCCAAUGAAAAUGGCCACUGCUAUGGUUGCAUAAAUCAUGGAAUUACUGAUAUGAAGCACCCCAACAAGGCUGAUGCAUACUCCGGUGGUCACUUGAACGUAUAUUUGCCAUUUGGUGGGUGUAGAAGACGUCCUAACACGUGGACAGGCUCUAAGGAAGAUGUACAAACUAAAAUUUUGAUCAUAUUAAAACUGGUUGUCACUUGGAUGUCAGUCUUAUUAUCUUUCUAUUUAUUACAGGUGGCAGCUGAGGAAGCUAGGCUGAGAUACAUCUACGGUAUACGAUGA
rnacentral:rRNA from 1 species